CGCACGGUGGUUUAGUGGUUAGCACGUUCGUCUCACUCCUCCAGGGUCGGGGUUCGAUUCCGUGUCCGUGUGU